rnacentral:rRNA from 1 species
UGGUAGGCAAAUCCGCCAGGCAAUAGGCUGAAACAUGAUGGGACCCUGAAACUACGGUGGAUGGGGAUUGUUUAUACCAUGCUUCCAGGAAAAGCUUCGUUUGUAGUCUAUGAGGUGCCCGUACCGUAAACCGACACAGGUGGGUGAGAUGAGUAUUCUAAGGCGCGUGAGUUAACCCUCUCCAAGGAACUCGGCAAAAUGACCCCGUAACUUCGGGAUAAGGGGCGCCAUACUUCGGUAUGGCCGCAGUGACAAGUUCCAACCGACUGUUUAGCAAAAACAUAGCUCUCUGCUAAGUGGCAACACGAUGUAUAGGGAGUGACAAGUGACCAAUGCGGAAAGGUGAACG